GGUUUCCUCCAUUUUUUGAUGACAAUCCAUUUGGUAUAUAUCAGAAGAUUCUUGCUGGCAAAAUAGAUUUCCCGAGGCAUUUGGAUUUAUAUGUAAAAGACCUUAUUAAGAAGCUGCUUGUGGUUGACAGGACAAGACGAUUAGGAAAUAUGAAGAAUGGAGCAGACGAUGUGAAGAGACAUCGGUGGUUCAGGUCUAUAGAUUGGGAUGCUGUACCUCAAAGGAGACUAAAGCCUCCCAUAGUACCGAAAGUAUCCAACGAUGGGGAUACUUCCAAUUUUGAAGCUUAUCCUGAAGAUGACUGGAACAAGACGCCUCCAGUACCCGCUAAAGAUCUAGAAAUUUUCAAGAACUUCUGAAUGUGACAUCUGCACUGGAUGAGAAACUGGAAGGAAAUUGAAGUGCUAAGAGCAAGUCUG